ACACCCCUUCCCAUUCCGAACAGGAUGGUUAAGCACUAAAGCGCUGAUGGUACUACAAGGGAGGCCUUGUGGGAGAGUAAGUCGUCGCCGGAU
rnacentral:rRNA from 1 species